CCUCUCUAGAAGAAUAUGGAAGUACACGUUCAUAAACAAAGUACUCAAGCUUCUCAUACAUCUUGAUCCAGGUGUAUUUGAAGCUCUCACAAAAAGAUCCAUAAAAUCAAUGGAGAGAGUUGAUCUCGGAGAAAUUUUGAAGCUUGUAAAUAUUUUGGAUUUGUAUUUUAUGUUCAUGAAUUUUAUAGUGUAUAAAGAUUGGGGAAAUUAAUAGAUUUGUGCAUUUCUAUAAAUAUUUUCGUUUGUGUAAAUUUAUAGUUUUUUGUUGUUAUUUUUUAUGUUUUAGUAGAUUUGUGUGUUUCUGUUUUUCUCUUAUGUAAAUUUUUGCCAUGGAGAUAUAAAAUUCUAAAGCUACAAAUAUGGAGGUGAGUUUGAGUUGUUAAUGUUCUUGAAUUCACAAUCAAUUUGAUGAAUUCACAAUUGAAUCGUUAUUGUUGGUUGUGAAUUCGAGUUAUUAAAGCUUUGAAUUCACAACUAGAAAUUAAUUGUGAAUUCAAAGCUUUAAAACUCAAAUUCACAAAUGAAUAACCAGUGUUGGUUACGAAUUCAAGCUUUUAAACUUGAAUUCACAACAAAUACUAUUCUUUAAUCGCUUCGUCGAGUUGUUAUCUUUCUCUCUCUCUUUCCGAUGUCACACUACUUCUUGAUUGAGAGAGUAGAUAUGAUGCAGGCAUUGUUGAGUUUGAUUGAUAGAAAUAGUGUGUAAUAUCACGAGUGACUAGAGAUUGUAGAAAUCUUUCCACUUAGUUUUUAGAAUUGAGGUUUAAACUAAGUGGAGCUGUGCCUGUUACUUGCUACUCAAUAUGUUUAAAGUUCAGCUGCUUGCUUCGUCUAUGUUCUGAGAGAGAGAUGUUCUUGUGCUUGGAUUUAUCAAUGUUAUUUUAUAAUUCCUUCUUAACUUUCCAGGUAAAUUGCCACAGUAUUACCUAUGCUACUG
rnacentral:lncRNA from 1 species